CGCCACUAUUUGAAAAUUUCCAAUCAGAUUCCAUCAUUCUUACAUCAUCUAACCCAACUAAUUAUUUCAAUGAAAAUGGGACGAGAAAGAAGCAUCCGACUCAGUAUAAUUUCAAUUAAAAUAUCCCAAGUAGUUCCUAGGGAUCUCCAUUGAUGAUUCUCAUGUAGAAUUUAAUCCCCAAGUUUCAGAACAUCCAUCAAAAGAGAGUAAUGAACAAGAAAAAAAAAUUCCACAUUUCAUCUUUUUUCUAGUUCAGGAAAAUAUUCCCAAUUGAUUGAUGUUGGAUUGGAAACAAAACACAAGACAAGAGGAAAGAGAUGCCUAUUUCUUCCCAUGAACCUCCAACUCCAUUUUUUGAAGGUUCAGCAGCAAAUCCUCUGAAUUAAGGAAAACCUUGUUGGCAGAAUUUGAGAUUGUCUGAGCAAUUUCUCUUGAAGCUUCUAUCUUCCUAAGUGUGAUAAAUGCAGGAUUGUUUGCUAUAGCCUGGCCUAUCAGCUGGGCACUUGUAGCCUCUCCCUAUCAACCACAGAGGCAGAAAUAAUUUGAUGGGGUUGUGAAUAUGCACGUUAACAAUCAAGAAAAAUCAAUGCAAAUAAACUAAGAAAAAAGAUUCUGCACUCCCCACCCCACUCUAGCCUCUCAAACUAAUUUUCUAUAUAGAAUCUGGUGCCAGGGCCAAGGAUAAACCUGGAAGAUUAAUCUAUAAUUUUGUUUAUUUUCCCAGCAAUGGCUCAUAAUUAAAGUAGAUGUGGACUUAUUUCUUUUCUCACCUCUGCUCUAAUAAUAGCACUUUUCUUGUCUUGUUCAGCUUUUUCUACAAUAAAUUUAGCCCUCUCAGCUUCUUGAGCAGCCACCUGUUUGGCUUCAAUUGCAGCAGUAAAUUCUUUCCCAAAAGUCAGGCUUGUUAUGGACACAUCAUCUAGUGCAAUGUUAAAGUAGGCUGCCCUUUCUGUCAAAAUCUUCCGUAUUUCUCUGCUAACAGCCUCUCUCUGAGUAAUAAGCUGGCUGGCAUUAUACUGUGCAACCACAGCUUUCAAUGUUUCAUGAAUGAUAGAAGGCAGAACUCUUUCAUUAUAGUUUUCACCAAGUGUUCGAUAAAUUGUAGGCAAUUGGCUUGCCACAGGACGAGUAAGAACUCGAAGCCCAAUCUUAACCAUUUGAAGAUCACGACUCCCUGAAGUACUCUCUACCAGAUGGGGCCGUGCACGGACAUCAUAAAUGACUGGGCGUUCAAACCAUGGAAUCAUAAGGUGUGUCCCUUCAGGGUAAACCUUGUCUUUGACACCAACUAUACGGUUGAACACAAUGGCCCGAUGCCCUCCCUCAACAUUGUAGAGACUAUUAGCAGCUGCAUACACAACAAUCCCACCAAUAACACCAAGCUUAAGCAAAGUGGAGGCUGCACCACCGCCUGGCACCUUAGGAACUUUGACCUUGCUGAAAUUCAUUUUUUCCAAAAGCUAAGCAUAUCAUUUUGAUGUUAAUAGAGUAAAAAAUUAAAUGUAAGUACUCAACAAUGAACAUCAAGUAAAAAGUUCAGAAACAAGCUGCAAUAUGAGAACAAGGAUGUGAGAGGAAACAUAAGAUAUUUCAUGAAUAGGUAGGCGUGACCUCUUAGAAAGGAAAAACCAAAUAUGAACAGCACAAAUAUAUUUCUCAUCAAAGUAUGCAUAAAGGCAACUUUAACCAACUUCUGCUAGAAAGUACAAACCCCCACAACUGAAGUCAGCAGAAAUCAUCAUUGAUAGUAAUGAAAUACUAGCUAGCUAGAGGAAAAACAUAUUAAUCUACAAUUGCAACAUGUUACUUGCUAUUGCCUUGAACUUAAUAUCUGUUGAAGCAAGAGGAAUCAAUUUUCCGCCCUCUCUUACUACCUUUUCAAUAACCACUUUAUUUUUAAAAUUUUUCUGGAGGACUUCUAAACAGUCUUUUAAAUUAACACUUUUUUCUCAGCAAUAAGAUAUUUAGGUGUGGAUGAGAUAUGAGAGACUACUAAUCUCUCUCUCUCUUACACAAACACGCACAGAGGAAAUUACAAGCAAACAUUACACAUUUCUUUACCCUACAUAGCAUCAAAAUGCCCUCGACUAAAAAACCAAACAUUUCCUAUUUGCCUAUUAACCUUCCAGUAGUCAUAAAAAUUACUCUAGAAUACAACAAUAAAAGAAAAACAAUCUUGAAUACAUUUCUUCUAGGCAUACACCAACGAACAAACUGAACGGAAUUACAGAAAUAAAGGGCAUACUCUGUGACACAAACAAAAAUUCAACCAAAUAUUUCUCACAAUAAAAUAUAAGUAAAUUGAUUAAAGAUGAUCCCUAUUUGGAUGCUAAGAUAAGUGAAGCAAAACACUUAUAUAUAUCUCUAUUGUUUCAGAAUCCAUUAAAUGAAAAGAACCCAACUCAAUUAAGCCAGGAAACCAAAAUCUUAGCCCCAAAAUAUUGAUUUCUCCCCUUCCCCAAAAAGAACUUUCUCGGGCAUCAAACAGAAGAUAACAUCAUGAACAAAAUUUUAAAAAGAAAAUGAGAAAAGCAAAAUACAAGGAGGGAAAGAAACAUCUGUGCACACCUUGUAGCCUUCCACUCGAUAG
rnacentral:misc_RNA from 1 species